GACGAACGCUGGCGGCGUGCUUAACACAUACAAGUCGAGCGGUAAGGCCCUUUCGGGGGUACACGAGCGGCGAACGGGUGAGUAACACGUGGGUGACCUGCCCUCAGCUCUGGGAUAAGCCUGGGAAACCGGGUCUAAUACUGGAUAUGACUCCAUGACGCAUGUUGUGGGGUGGAAAGCCUUGUGCGGCUGAGGAUGGGCCCGCGGCCUAUCAGCUUGUUGGUGGGGUGAUGGCCUACCAAGGCGACGACGGGUAGCCGGCCUGAGAGGGCGACCGGCCACACUGGGACUGAGACACGGCCCAGACUCCUACGGGAGGCAGCAGUGGGGAAUCUUGCGCAAUGGGCGAAAGCCUGACGCAGCGACGCCGCGUGAGGGAUGACGG
rnacentral:rRNA from 1 species